CAACUUUGUAGAUAAAGGACUAUGCCCUCUUCUGAAGGAGGUUGUUGGGGAGAUUCAUCACAUUUUCUCUCUGAUGUCUUUUCUUUCCAGGGCCGUGGUGGACAGCGUGGUCCUUUUGGUAUACCUGGAAUCCCGGGUGCUCCUGGCUCUGCUGGCAUUCCUGCAACUAAAGGGGACAGAGUGAGUCAUAUUCCGGUAACCAACCAGCUCCAAACAAGAAGAGGUCAACAGUGAAAAGGAUAAAAACACAAAAGGCUCAAUCAUCACUGAACUCUCAUAAACCUGAGCAAUAAAGAUAGGAACUGUGAGUUGCUGGUUGGUUAGAAAAGAUAUCAGAUGAUCCUAGACACAGGUGUAAUCGCCCGCCUGUGGGCUUGUGGUGGCUGGUGCUGUUACAGCUCUCUUCUUUAUAGGAGCACGUAAAUGUCAGACAAGGGGGUUCGUAGGUGGAGCCAGUCAGUGUCCUUGCAAGACACAUUCAGCAUUGCACAACCAAGGAUGCGCUGGGGGUCAUCAACACUGCUUUGUAAAGUAUUCAUAUGUGAUGCUGCUAGGGCACAUUGUAUUAGGGUGUUGAUAUGUUGCUACAGGGAUGUAUAUUCAUUCAACAGUCAAUGUGUCUUUACCUCCCUUGUCUCUGUCAUAAAUCCAGGGAUUCUCAGGCCUGGGGGGAGAGCCAGGACAAGCAGGUCCCCCAGGCACUCCUUUAUGUCCAACAAAAAAUAUCACCCACCUACAGGAUCAUUGUUGAAUCUGCACAUUCUGUCACCACCCUCAACUCUUACUCAUUCUUACCUUGUAUUUCUAUCUAUUUCGUGAUUUUAACAGGGUCCUGCAGGAAAGUCCGGACAAGAUGGCAGUCCUGGGACACCUAGUGAUAAGUCUCUCUCUGUUCUCUAGGGCUUCACAGGGAAAGUUGGCAUGCAGGAUCCCCAAGGGCCAGUGGGCAUGCAUGGCUACUCAGGAGCCGUGGGUUUAACUGGUCAUUUUGGAGAGGGGGGAGAACCUCGUGUGAGAGGCACCGCCGGUAUCCCUGGGAAGAGUGGAACG